CCUAGACACAAAUGGUUUGUUUUAAUAGAAACAAAAUUUAUUAUUAUUUUUUAAACUGACACGUUGUAAAACGGUAGUCUUUAGAACAGUGCCUUCCUCAAAGAAGAUUGAAAUGACAUACAUUAGUCGAAUAUAAAGUUGAAGAAGCGUCAUUUUGGAUGCAUCAAUUGAAGGAUACCACAGAAGUAACGCAAAUAAUGUUUUCCAAUCAAGUGCUUCUUUCGCUAUUAAGCGGUCAAUGCAUCCAGCUAAAACGUGAUGAAUUCGAAGUACAGGUAAAGGUAUUGUUUCAUAUAUUUGCCUUUUUUGCCAUUCAAUCAGCUAUUUGGAUGGAAAAAAAAAAUUCAAACAACCAAUAGCCCCAUACAAAA